GAUGCAUUUCCCAUCUUGAAACCAAGAGAUGCGGACGCGUCGACCGUACCGUUAAUUCCUCCCCAGUCAGUGUUUUUGACAAUGGGAGGUUGGACUCGGGACGCGACUGUGCCGCGGCGGAACUCGUUUUCGCUAGAACGUUUCUAUUGCAAUCUUUAGUUUUUUUCGAGGGGUACCUGAUCCCAGUCGCCCGGGAGUCAGCCCGCCUUGAGAACCCGCCCCCGAUUUCGAUGCUUCGAUUCGGGGCGGAACAUCUCGGCCGCCAGGUUCAAAGAACCGUCCCUCUCCGGGACCGGUCGCCCCCGACCAAAAAUCUACUUUUCCAUCAACAACUUCUUCCAGAUUAAAUUUUCGAACGUUUAAAAAAAAAAUGAGAAAUAUCACUCUGGGCGGUGGAUCACUCGGCUCGCGGGUCGAUGAAGAACGCAGCCAGCUGCGAGACGUGAUGUGAAUUGCGGGACACAUUGAGCAUCGACUUUUCGAACGCACAUUGCACUCUAGGUCACAAGCCUGGGGUGCGUCCGGCUGAGGGUCGGUAAAUCGUACGCCUCGGCGUUACGGGUCGUUCAUCGAGACGGUCCUCCUAAAAACGGGACUUCUUGGUCGACCAGCCUAAGAUGACGAAAGAAAAAGCGUGCCGGUCGAGGGUGCUAUAUGCAUCCCCGAUUGCGCGAGGAAUAUUUCCCCCCAAUUUUUUCUCUCUAGGUGGUUUCCGUCUCCGAGCGGUCGCAUCGUCUCCGACGACCCGCGCGACGGAUUAAAACCGAAACUCCUACGACUGAAACGGGCGGAAGGAAACUCUGGCGGCGCCUUGACUAAGUUCGUUUUAUACUU
rnacentral:rRNA from 1 species